rnacentral:lncRNA from 10 species
AAUCAGAAAAAAGGGCGGAUGUGCAAUCUUCACCUGUUUAUUCGGUAGAGGGUGCCAUCUUCAGGUAGCCCUUCACGUUGUACAGAAAACAAUGGAGACUUCUCCUCCUGGGGCAGCCUCAACCUGGAGAAAAAAGUCUUCAUCCCGUGGAGCACCAUCCACCUCUUCUCCACCUGGACAGGCUGCUGGCUGCCGGAUCUUCUUCGGUUUGGUGGGGCUGCUCACCUUGGGGCCCUCAGGACAGGACACAGGGGCAGGCAGGGCUGUUGAGAGCUCUUCAGCCAGUUCCUGAAGAUACAGAAGUGCCCUGUGGGAACGGACAGAGUCAGAGCCAUUCUCACAUAUGACUGAGAACCCACGUUUCCAGACAUGGUUGAUUUUUAUCUCAAUGGAGCCUCCCAAUAACCCCAUGAUUAACCAAUUAACUCUAUUAAUUUCCCCUUCCCCCUUGGAAGAUGAAAAACCAGAAAUCUAAGUUAUGUGACUUGGCCGAGAUGACUGAGAUAACAAAUGUGGAAUCUGAACCCAGGUCUUCUCACUCCAAGUUCAAUACAUUUUUCAUCCUACCACAGUCAAAGAACACAGAGGGCAAGAGAAAGAAUGGAACAGAAUAUAUAUACUGACAUAUACUGGACAGUAAAACAAUAAAGAGCUGGGUAAAGUUUGUGAAAAA